rnacentral:rRNA from 1 species
CCCGGGCCUUGUACACACCGCCCGUCGACUACCAUUCGGGAGUCAGUUGCUCCAGAACGGGUUGCCUAACCGCAAGGGGGCGCUCUUUAAGGAGUGACUGGUAACGUGGGUG